ensembl:lncRNA
ACAGUAGAGAGGCUAUAUAGAGUAGAGAGGCUAUAUACAGUAGAGAGGCUAUAUACAGUAGAGAGGCUAUAUACAGUAGAGAGGCGAUAUACAGUAGAGAGGCUAUAUACAGUAGUGAGGCGAUAUACAGUAGAGAGUCUAUAUACAGUAGUGAGGCGAUACACAGUAGAGAGUCUAUUUACAGUAGAGGCUAUAUACAGUAGAGGCUAUAUACAGGCCCCGGUUAGUCAGGCUGAUUGAGGUAGUAUGUAGAUAUGGUUAAAGUGACUAUGCAAAUAUGAUGAACAGAGAGUAGCAGUAGCGUAAAAGAGAGAUUGGCGGGUGGUGGGUGGUUGGACACAAUGCACCGGUUAGUUGGGCUAUUUGAGGUAGUAUGUAGAUAAAUGACUAAGUGACUAAGCAUAUAUGAUCAACAGAGAGUAACAGCAGCAUAAAAUAGGGGUUGGGGGGGCACACAAUGCAAAUAGUCAUUCAACCUGUUCAGGAGUCUUAUGGCUUGGGG